GCCAGCGUGGUUUAGAGAUUUGACCACUAGACUAGGAUUCUGGAGACCAGGGUUCAAAUCCCCACAUAGCCA